ensembl:lncRNA
AUGAGCAGGAAUCACUUUGCAGUAUUAGCAUUAAAUCAGGAGGAAAUCUUUCAGAGCCACAUGGAGCAAAUUACCACCCUAAUUCUAAGCAUCUGGACUCAGUCCUCAAAGCUUCAUGGGAAAGAGUACAGGUUUUGGGUCACCAGAAGGGUAGCCAGGAUACUGCCAACCAGGAUAAGGCCAAGUCUUCUGGGGGUAUUUGGGAGGGUGAGGCUUUUCACCUGGUGCAUCCGAUUCAGUGUCAGAGCCAGAGGCUGGAACAGGUUUUGGGUCACCAGAAGGGUAGCCAGGAUAAGGCCAAGUCUUCUGGGGGUAUUUGGGAGGGUGAGGCUUUUCACCUGGUGCAUCCGAUUCAGUGUCAGAGCCAGAGGCUGGAACAGGUUUUGGGUCACCAGAAGGGUAGCCAGGAUACUGCCAACCAGGAUAAGGCCAAGUCUUCUGGGGGUAUUUGGGAGGGUGAGGCUUUUCACCUGGUGCAUCCGAUUCAGUGUCAGAGCCAGAGGCUGGAACAGGUUUUGGGUCACCAGAAGGGUAGCCAGGAUACUGCCAACCAGGAUAAGGCCAAGUCUUCUGGGGGUAUUUGGGAGGGUGAGGCUUUUCACCUGGUGCAUCCGAUUCAGUGUCAGAGCCAGAGGCUGGAACAGGUUUUGGGUCACCAGAAGGGUAGCCAGGAUACUGCCAACCAGGAUAAGGCCAAGUCUUCUGGGGGUAUUUGGGAGGGUGAGGCUUUUCACCUGGUGCAUCCGAUUCAGUGUCAGAGCCAGAGGCUGGAACAGGUUUUGGGUCACCAGAAGGGUAGCCAGGAUACUGCCAACCAGGAUAAGGCCAAGUCUUCUGGGGGUAUUUGGGAGGGUGAGGCUUUUCACCUGGUGCAUCCGAUUCAGUGUCAGAGCCAGAGGCUGGAACAGGUUUUGGGUCACCAGAAGGGUAGCCAGGAUACUGCCAACCAGGAUAAGGCCAAGUCUUCUGGGGGUAUUUGGGAGGGUGAGGCUUUUCACCUGGUGCAUCCGAUUCAGUGUCAGAGCCAGAGGCUGGAACAGGUUUUGGGUCACCAGAAGGGUAGCCAGGAUACUGCCAACCAGGAUAAGGCCAAGUCUUCUGGGGGUAUUUGGGAGGGUGAGGCUUUUCACCUGGUGCAUCCGAUUCAGUGUCAGAGCCAGAGGCUGGAACAGGUUUUGGGUCACCAGAAGGGUAGCCAGGAUACUGCCAACCAGGAUAAGGCCAAGUCUUCUGGGGGUAUUUGGGAGGGUGAGGCUUUUCACCUGGUGCAUCCGAUUCAGUGUCAGAGCCAGAGGCUGGAACAGGUUUUGGGUCACCAGAAGGGUAGCCAGGAUACUGCCAACCAGGAUAAGGCCAAGUCUUCUGGGGGUAUUUGGGAGGGUGAGGCUUUUCACCUGGUGCAUCCGAUUCAGUGUCAGAGCCAGAGGCUGGAACAGGUUUUGGGUCACCAGAAGGGUAGCCAGGAUACUGCCAACCAGGAUAAGGCCAAGUCUUCUGGGGGUAUUUGGGAGGGUGAGGCUUUUCACCUGGUGCAUCCGAUUCAGUGUCAGAGCCAGAGGCUGGAACAGGUUUUGGGUCACCAGAAGGGUAGCCAGGAUACUGCCAACCAGGAUAAGGCCAAGUCUUCUGGGGGUAUUUGGGAGGGUGAGGCUUUUCACCUGGUGCAUCCGAUUCAGUGUCAGAGCCAGAGGCUGGAACAGGUUUUGGGUCACCAGAAGGGUAGCCAGGAUACUGCCAACCAGGAUAAGGCCAAGUCUUCUGGGGGUAUUUGGGAGGGUGAGGCUUUUCACCUGGUGCAUCCGAUUCAGUGUCAGAGCCAGAGGCUGGAACAGGUUUUGGGUCACCAGAAGGGUAGCCAGGAUAAGGCCAAGUCUUCUGGGGGUAUUUGGGAGGGUGAGGCUUUUCACCUGGUGCAUCCGAUUCAGUGUCAGAGCCAGAGGCUGGAACAGGUUUUGGGUCACCAGAAGGGUAGCCAGGAUACUGCCAACCAGGAUAAGGCCAAGUCUUCUGGGGGUAUUUGGGAGGGUGAGGCUUUUCACCUGGUGCAUCCGAUUCAGUGUCAGAGCCAGAGGCUGGAACAGGUUUUGGGUCACCAGAAGGGUAGCCAGGAUAAGGCCAAGUCUUCUGGGGGUAUUUGGGAGGGUGAGGCUUUUCACCUGGUGCAUCCGAUUCAGAGCCAGAGGCUGGAACAGGUUUUGGGUCACCAGAAGGGUAGCCAGGAUGCUGCCAACCAGGAUAAGGCCAAGGCUUCUGGGGGUAUUUGGGAGGUUGAGGCUUUUCAGCUGGUGCAUCCGAUUCAGUGUCAGAGCCAGAGGCUGGAACAGGUUUCAAAGUGGGUUUUGGUCUGCCAUGAUAGAGGUAAUCAGGAUGGUAGUGUGGCCAAGACAUCUCGGGGUAUUUGGGAGGUUGAGGCUCUCCAGUUGGUGCUUGGGCAACUAGAGUAGUUGUAACAGGUUUCUCCGUUUGUUUAGCUGUGGCAUAAACCCUUCCAGGAUAAAGAUAAUGAGGGAAAGGCCAAAACCCUUGUGGAUACACUUGAGGGUACACAAGAGGUGGUGGCUUCAGUGUUGCAGUAUCAGACACUUGUGGCAUUGCAGGUGCAUCUGGACUUUGUGUAUCAGGAGAGAAGGGAGGCAGCAGAAUGUGCAGAUAUUUAGGAGGAUGAGGUCCCAGGAAGGUUUCAUUUGCAAUGGUAGAGGUCAUAGGACAAGUAAUGACUGCAGAGUUUCCCUGCCACUGUAUCUGCAUCACAUAAUACCCUCCCUGAAAAACAAUGAACAUCAAGGUUGGUCUACAUUACCCAGUUUUCGUGCUAAAUUGAAUGGCGAAAGCAAUACCUGUUGCACAACACCACAUCCAUCAUAGGGAGUAGCAUAGACAAGACCUGCAUAAGUGAGUGCUGUGUGUCCACAGUGAGGUGGCAACUGAGUGAGAGGAACAGGCACCCCAUUACCUGUGACAAAGGUAUAAGGACUAUUACAAAACUAUAUGGAAUUCUAUUGUGUAUUGAAGCAUGUAAAGUCUAGGUGGGACAAGCAAGUUAGUACAGCUUGAAGACAAUACUGGUAUCAAAAACUUUAGUAAACAAACAUAAUACAUUUUCAGGUUACCUCGACAGAGUUCAACAUUUGCUACUUCUGGACCACUGAGCUGUAACUUCACGAGAUCGUCACCACACCUCAACUUUGGAGACAUGGCAUCCCAGGCUGCUUCAGAAGAACUGAGUAGCUGUCCUUUAAUUAAUGAUUUUUUCUGAAGACCUGAAAUGUGUAUAUAGUUCUCUUACAUUCAAAUUUUCAAUUUACAUAUUUAUACACCAAUAUUUAACCAAGCAUUAAUUACAUACCUGAAACUCCGGCGUUAUCACCAAGAUGGUCAAAAUCAGCUAAGGGCUCAAAAUAUCCCUUGUGGUCUGAUAUAUUUUUUUCUGAAAUAUCUU